rnacentral:lncRNA from 1 species
CUGAAGGACGGAAGAAGAUUCAGCGGUAAGUAAGUUUGACUAUAUCAGCUUGGUGACGUCACAAUCGCUGCAUCCACUACUACCUAAAAUGAAAAAGGGGUUUUCCCCUUUUCGAAAAAAAUUAAAAUGUGCACGUAAAUUUCAAACCAUGCAGGUCAGGUUCGAUUUACUUUAAAUACAAAAUUGAAUAUAAUGCCAGGGGCGUAGCUAGAAAUAAACGAUGUGGAAGCAACUACCGCCGAGCGGAGCGAGGCUAAAAAAAUUUGGGACCCUAUUAUGCAGCAAUUUUUUUUUUCGGUUUUCGGUCAUAUGACGGUUAAAAGAGGAGCUAUAUGUAGAUAAAAAAUUAUGAAUGUAAAACUAUUACUAAAUCUUCUGAAUAUAGUAAUACAUAAACAACACAUAUUUGUGAUACAGAAUUUACUCAAAAUUAUCCAAAAUCUGCUCUUCGGGUCUGGGCAAAUACAAACUUCUCUAUUACUUUGUCAACAUUCACACUGAAAUCCCGAUGAAUAUGCAGUAAUGCUAUGUAACUUUCGUUGUUCAUUGUUGAUCGUACAUUUGUUUUCAAUUACAUACGUAGUGCCGUGACUGAUAGAUCUAAG